CCUACGGGAGGCAGCAGUAGGGAAUCUUCCGCAAUGGACGAAAGUCUGACGGAGCAACGCCGCGUGAGUGAAGAAGGUUUUCGGAUCGUAAAACUCUGUUGUUAGGGAAGAACAAGUCAGGUAGUAACCGACCUGACCUUGACGGUACCUAACCAGAAAGCCACGGCUAACUACGUGCCAGCAGCCGCGGUAAU
rnacentral:rRNA from 1 species